UUAAACAAAUAAAAAACAUUUUUAGGAAUUUUUCCUUGGGACAACGUGGUACCACUGUUUUCAGUGUAGACAAGCACCACAGGAGAGUCAGAGAAUUAUCAAAUGUGGCCCCAUCUAUACAGGUUCAUCCUGGACAACGGCUCAUGAAUGUUCCACAGAAUCAGGAUCCACCCACACUCACACCAACAGGGUGAUGUGUUAACCAUAGCCCUCCAUAGCCCUCCAACCCUCAGAUCCAAAUAACCAUCUGUUAUUAAGCGUCUGGCUCCAGGAUCAUUAGUUAAACUGCCAGGUGCUUUCCCAAACACAUACUUUAGAUGUAUCACUGCUGCCCCUGACAUCACAUCGUUUUAUCAUACCACAAGAACAGCUCACUGUAGUGGGAUGCUCUGGUGCCUGGUACCCUGUACACUGACGGUAGCCUACACUCUGUCUAGUGAUUAAAGUACGUACAGUACAGUGUUCUGUAGAGUUUCACUUCAAAUCAAUUCAACUAUUUGGAGGACAGAGGGUUAAAAGAUGAUGAGGGUUAAAAGAUGAUGAGGGUUAAACGAUGAUGAGUGUUAAAGGAUGAUGAGGGUUAAAAGAUGAUGAGGGUUAAAUGAUGAUGAGGGUUAAAGGAUGAUGAGGGUUAAAAGAUGAUGAGGGUUAAAGGAUGAUGAGGGUUAAAAGAUGAUGAGGGUUAAAAGAUGAUGAGGGUUAAAGGAUGAUGAGGGUUAAAAGAUGAUGAGGGUUAAACGAUGAUGAGUGUUAAAGGAUGAUGAGGGUUAAAAGAUGAUGAGGGUUAAAAGAUAAUGAGGGUUAAAGGAUGAUGAGGGUUAAAAGAUGAUGAGGGUUAAACGAUGAUGAGUGUUAAAGGAUGAUGAGGGUUAAAGGAUGAUGAGGGUUAAAGGAUGAUGAGGUUUAAAAGAUGAUGAGGGUUAAAAGAUAAUGAGGGUUAAAGGAUGAUGAGGGUUAAAAGAUGAUGAGGGUUAAACGAUGAUGAGUGUUAAAGGAUGAUGAGGGUUAAAAGAUGAUGAGGGUUAAAGGAUGAUGAGGUUUAAAAGAUGAUGAGGGUUAAAAGAUGAUGAGGGUUAAAGGAUGAUGAGGGUUAAAUGAUGAUGAGGGUUAAACGAUGAUGAGUGUUAAAGGAUGAUGAGGGUUAAAAGAUGAUGAGGGUUAAAAGAUGAUGAGGGUUAAAGGAUGAUGAGGGUUAAAUGAUGAUGAGGGUUAAACGAUGAUGAGGGUUAAAGGAUGAUGAGGGUUAAAAGAUGAUGAGGGUUAAAAGAUGAUGAGGUUUAAAAGAUGAUGAGGGUUAAAGGGUGAUGAGCGUUAAAAGAUAAUGAGGGUUAAAGGAUGAUGAGGGUUAAAUGAUGAUGAGGGUUAAACGAUGAUGAGUGAUAAAGGAUGAUGAGGGUUAAAGGAUGAUGAGGGUUAAAAGAUGAUGAGGGUUAAAGGAUGAUGAGGGUUAAAAGAUGAAGAUGUUUAAAGGAUGAUGAGGGUUAAAGGAUGAUAACGGUUAAAAGAUGAGGGUUAAAGGAUAAUGAGGGUUAAAGGAUGAUGAGGGUUAAAAGAUGAUGAGGAUUAAAGGAUGAUGAGGGUUAAAAGAUGAAGAUGUUUAAAGGAUGAUGAGGGUUAAACGAUGAUGAGGGUUAAAGGAUGAUAACGGUUAAAAGAUGAGGGUUAAAAAAUAAUGAGGGUUAAAGGAUGAUGAGGGUUAAAGGAUGAUGAGGGUUAAAGGAUGAUGAGGGUUAAACAAUGAUGAGGGUUAAAGGAUGAUGAGGGUUAAAGGAUGAUGAGGGUUAAAAGAUGAUGAGUGUUAAAGGAUGAUGAGGGUUAAAGGAUGAUGAGGGUUAAAGGAUGAUGAGGGUUAAAGGAUGAUGAGUGUUAAAGGAUGAUGAGGGUUAAAGGAUGAUGAGGGUUAAAGGAUGAUGAGGGUUAAAGGAUGGUGAGGGUUAAAGGAUGAUGAGUGUUAAAUGAUGAUGAGGGUUAAAGGAUGAUGAGGGUUAAAGGAUGAUGAGGGUUAAACGAUGAUGAGGGUUAAAGGAUGAUG